CGGAUUAUCAAUCAGUUUUCCCCAACCUGACUUGGGGAAGUGAGGAAAUGCUAUCAUAACAUCAUAACAGCUAAACUAAAAAGGUAGGUCUUGCAUUUGCUUUUGAAAAUAUUUGUGCCAUCCUCAGGUCCACAAAAUGGGUCUUUGUUUUGAUGCACAGUUGAUCAUCUUUAGAGUCUUUUACACGUUCGGGUCUUUGGAGAUAAGGGCUCAUGUUUUCACAUUUUUCAAUAGGCACUUUUUCUUUCAAAUAUGGUGGGUUGCAAAUCAGUGAACGACAAAAUACUGAAAACUUGGCGGUGGACAUGACUGGUAGAGACAGAAGUUAUUUAAAAACCAUCAUGCAGACUCGAUAAAACAGCAUCUUUUUAAACUUGCAAGUGGAGAUUCCACUAUGCUUGAAUAUUGGAUUAUAAGUCAAACUCCUGAAGACCUCCUGUGUCUCCUGCUAACCCUUAGAGGCACUUUGCCAUUGGCCCAAUAUUUCUCACUGUCCUCCAACAUUUUAAGUAUAAGUCGUCCUUUGAGCAUCAGAACCAAUUAGAUAAGCUAUAACACAACUCUCAGAACAAAUAAUCAUGCAAUACUACCCGUGCUGUGGUUAAUGGUGCAAUUAGAAAGAGGGAAGAAAGACAGAGAGGGAAAUUUUAUUAAUUUAGUGCCUUCUUUAAUAAGAAACACUGAUGACUAGUCUUGUUAUGGGUUCCCGCGAAGCAAGACACGCACAUGAUACAUGUUAUUGCCUGACAUGCUGCAAAAAUCUCUGCUCCUGCUGUAGCUUUAUGGAGCUUUCUGCAUUUAAGCAAGCCGAAUAAUAUAUUUCUAGUUUUAGAGUACCUUUGAGAGAGGAGGCUCUACACUAAAUAACCUGUGAGGUGAAGAUAUUGAGCAGCAAAAAGAGGAGGUUGUUGAAGGUAUAGCUCUAAAGAGUAGACAGGAUGGCAAGGUCGAAGCUUUUUCAGUGUCUUGAGCAUCAGCUCAAAAUCCAUCAGACCACUUAAACAUCCUGAGAGCUAUUAAUUAGACUGCUGUCAAUAUGUGGACAGCAGCUAUAAAUGAGGUUUUAAUGGCCUGAUACUCUGUCCGUGAUAAUAAAGAUUGCAUCAAUUGGAGAAGAAAAGCUGUACCACAUUGAUUUGAAGAGGUCAUCACAGAAAGACAUUUUUGUACAAAAUGAAAUGACACCCUGCUUGAUUUGCUUGUGUAGAUGGAGGACAAGGCCCCAGAAUUACAACAAGCCCUGAGGGAGAGGGAAACAGCGGAAGAAAUUAAAAAAUGAAUGUUUUUUUUUUUUUUUCCCUUUGGAUUUUGUGCAGCUACAAACUGAUUCAUCAAAUUAUCAUGCAGAAGUUAGAGAAAGAAUUUAGGAUAAAAAAGAACAAAUGUUGCAAAGAAAAUGAGUAACUGCAAACUGAGCUUCACAUUUUUUUCUAGGGCAAAUAUAGCGGGCUAGCCUAGACCCAAAGAAAAUGGAUUAUUGUGUUUACAUAUGAUGGAAAGUAUCGUUUCACUGAAUAAGUCCCACACCAUCGACUGUCUUUUAAUAUUAUUACUUUCAAUGUUUUGGUUUAGCAGUCAUCAAUUUUAUUCAAUUGCUUUUGACCUCUUUUAUUAUCAAUCUGUUUUAGAGAAAAAAGUCCUAAAAAUCGGUUAAAAAUCUGCGACCUGCUCAUCACCAAAAAGCAGAAAGAAAAAAGUUAGCAUGUUAGAGCUAGCUAAAAGCAACAAGCUUAAAAAGCCUGAUUUAUCUCUCUCUGGAGUUAGUGGACACAAAUGCAAACUCACCGCAAAAAACACGACUUCUUAUCAGUGCUAAUGCUACUCUGUAACUGUGGUGUAUGUGUUCACCGUCCGCUGUUAGCUGGCAGCCCGCUACUCACCACACAAACUAACCAUUAGCCUAAAAAGCUGAUGGUGUCUGAAUAACUUAUCAUCAUGUAUCAAAGAGACAAAGUUUCCUGCAAGAUUGACUGAACAAACUUCAAAAACAGAAACAUCAAAUUUACUCAGUCAAAACAAAUCUUUUGACCCCAUUUGAAGGUUUCUAAUUAAUAUAAAACUUUUCACGAGCAGUAACACUGUACUUGGAAAAAAAAUUAAAAAGCCACCAUCAUUUCUAGAAAAGUGAUUAAGUUAAGUGAUUAAAAAUUCCACUCAACUUUGAAAUGUCAGCUCUUAUUUCUUCAUGAUGAAUCUUUGAGUUAUGUAAUUUAUAAAAGGCCUUAUCAUUAGAAACAAAAAACCAAUAGUGUACAAGCAUGAGGCAGGUUCAAUAUUUACUAUAGAUGAAGUUACACACCCCCUUGAAAGAACAAAUCAAAUUAAUGCAGGACUGAACAUACUGCACUGCAGGUAGCCAUAUAAAUAUGCCCUCUUUGGAAAAAGGACACAUCACAACAGGGACCUCUCUGAUUAAAAUGACCUUCCCUGCAUAAAAUUAGUAAUAAGUGCAUUAUUAAAGCCCAUUUUGAGGGUUUUUAAGGCAAUCAGUGAUUAUUGUAGUGAUAUCUGAUUGACCGAGCAACCAUCUCUGCAGACGGUGAACAAAUAAAUAAUGAAAUUCUCGCUGCUCAGGAAACCUGAGAGCAACAGGUCUGUAGGCAAAUUGACUAACUGCAGCUAGUUAAUGAAUAUGACUCCAAAUGAAACAUAACACAGCUGAUGCAGCUGAGCCCUGCCCUCCCCAGCUUUGAUUGCAAAAAGUAAUUUCCUGCCAGUAAGACUCAUUCAAAAGGGCCAGCAACAUAGACAUGAAUAUAUGUAUGUGCUGUACAUACAGUUGUUGAUUGUACGGUUCCUGGCAGAACAAACUCUGUCCGGGUGAUAGCAAAAGAAAUUCCAUUGAUCCUGUGCUUUCUAAAUCCAUUUUGUAAAUUAUGUUUCAAACUGGCUGAAUGGGAGUGCCAACACGAUUAGCUGAUAUAUUGGGAUGGGUGAGUGCAGACAGUUUUAGCAGAUGAUAAUACUCCCAGAAAAACAAAGCAACAUGAGGAAGAGAGGACCAAGAAUAACAAAAGAUGUGACUCUGUACUGGGAUCAUUAGCUGUUGUUGGUAUGUGGUUUAAUGGCAAACAAACCUCUUCCAGAAAACAAAAGCUGCUACAUCUGACACCGAAAUGGAUGCUGGAGGAAAGGGAUUAACAGCGAUAAACAUUUCGUGCUCUAUGCUACCAGCACAAUUAUGCUUCCAUUAAGUGACUGCAAAUCUUAACUGCAAACAAAGACUGAAUUUGGCCCCUAUGGAUGCACAAAGCUAUUUGGAGUGUUAUCCAUAAGCUGCCAUGUACAUACAGCAUAUUCUAAUGUAUAUUAAUGUGACAUGUUUAUGGUCAUCUCUGGUCUCCUACAGACAUUUGUUUGUUUGCAUAAUGAAAGACAAAUAGCUCCUCUAAAUAGUCCCCUGUGUGAUUCUCCCGUCGUCGCGAUGCUAAUGCUGCUUGAGUGAUCUAUCUAAACUCUAAACAAUUUGCAUAAUUGCUUUCUCGCAAAGACUAAGACUAGAGGACCUAUAUCACUCUUGUGUGUGAUUGUUAUAUCUAAUAUUACAGCCAACAGCUAGAUUGCUUUGCUUAGCAUAAGAGCUGGAAACGUUGGGGAACAGCCGGCCUCCGUCAAAAGUUAUAAGCAUCCACCUUAAUCUUUAAAGGUCACAAAAUAACUGGUUGUAUUUUAUUUGUGUUCAGUGGACUUGAAAGAAAAAGAUAGAGUGGGUUUUUUUGUACUUCUGGACAGAGCCAGGCUAUAUUCAGCCAUUAUAAGAACAACCACACCCAUACCACCACUUCAAACACAGACCUGCACCACACAGCUCUGAUAACGCCUACAUGCUUUGCAAAGUCUCAAACAUCAAGACUCAGCUGCUACGUCUGCAGUCCACAGAGUCUGGUCGCUCCACACAUUUAUCAAUAUCACACAGCCAAGAACUGACUGUGGUUUGACAUAACGCUGCUAAUUAGUUGCCAUUAUCUGUUCACAAUCAUCUAAUGUGUUGAACACAGCUGUAUGAUCCCUGCCAUUAACUUACUGAAGAGAAAAAGCUGACCACAGACAGGGGGCCAGAAUAGACACUAAAUCACAAAAUUUUGAGGAGCCAAGCUGCUUUAACACUCUUUGUUGGAAAGCCAGGUGUUUGCAAGGUUACUAAUGAGGAGUGAAGAAGAGACUUGGGCAGGCAAGCAACCUUUCAAACACCUGCUGCCCCUCAGCAGCCCACACAAGUGCGCGAUCACAAGUCAUUUUUCACCGUAUCCUUUCCUCAGCAUAGACAUCAACCUGGUAAGCAGCCAAAUACAUGUCAGAAAGUGUUAGCUAUGUCACCUUACAUUGGAUUAUGAUGCUCAAUGAAUCUGCAAAGAAACAGGGCAUGAAAAUUGACCUGGCUGAAAACAACCAUCAUGAUUUAGCAGCGUACAGGUACAAUGUGAAAAAAAAGACAGUUUCAAAAGUCUGAAGGGAGACUCAGAAGCACACAAUCCACACCAGAGAAAUCCAGCAUGAUCACAACUGCAGGAAUCUAGCUUUGCCAUCUCCUAACUAUUAAUAAUGUCUUUACUUAUUAAAAUUUCUAUAAACUGAAAAAUUAAAAAAUGUAGCAAUAAAAAGGCAGGGAAGAAAUUGUAUUCAUCAGCAGCAUAAGAAAUCUUUUUUAUGCAUGUGUCACCCAGAGGAGUGAAGCAGCACAAUGUAGAAGAACAGAGGGCACAGAAUGCUUUUCUGAACACCCAUAUAACCAAUGAAUCAUUUGUGGUUGAGCUGUAUGCUAUGGGUUAUUGUACUGUGGUAGCCUAUCUGCACAGUGUAUGAAUGACUCAAAAAUGAAGCAGCAAACAGUUAUAAUUCUGCAUCAAACACAGUGCACCAUGUGGUGCCACCAUAUACAUUUUAAAUUUACAACUCUAUAUGUUAUUGAGUGGUACAGUCAGCAAAUGACUGGGAAAAUAUGUUAAUGUCUAGACUUCUGAGUAAACUGUGAAUGAGGCUGAAUGAUGCAGCACUUUACAAAAAGACUGAAAUGAAUUCUGCUAACAUGCUCACAGCCAUUGUACCGUGUGUUUACCUGCUGACGCAAAGCAGGCAAAACGGGUACGAUGUGUGUAUUGACACUGGCACCGCCACUCGGUUUUAGGUGUUUACUAAUGGAACAAAGUAAUGGGAAUUUUAUAUAAAUGACCCUGUCCAUUUGUUCAUUCAUUACCUUACAGCUUAUCCCUUCUGGGGUGGGGUGGGGAGGGGGGUCUCUCUAAGCUGUCAAUUGGUGAAAUGUAGAGUACAAAGGUCACCAGUCUACCCCAGGGCUAACAAAGACAAAGAACCGAUUACACAAAUACUCACACCUAUGAGCAAUUCAUAGCAACCAACCCAAUUUACAUGUCGACUCACCAAUGCACAUGGAGAACAUGCAAACUCCAUACAGAAAGGCCCCUGACACUCAGGUAUUUGAACCAGAAAUCUUGCUGUGAAGCAACAGCACGAACCACUGUGUAGCUCUAAUUGACAUGAUGGUUGAGGUAGUUUCUGGAGAGAAAGGGAAAGAAAAUUCCACCAUCUUUUUAUUUACACAUCUGUUCAUAGUCUUACUCACACCAAGUCCAAAUGGAGUACUUCUGCAUUUGUAGAACCAUGGACAGUACUUAGCCAUGACCCAAAUUGUUUAUAACUGGUAGCCUUGAUAAAUUAAACCUAAUCGCUGUCAAAACAAGCUCAUCCUUGCACAGUAUAAAUAGGCUACAAAAUUAUAAAUAUAUUUCUGAACAAUACUGUAAAUAUCUUUAAUUAUGCUGUUAAAAAAAUUGCCUUUUAAUAUAUUUAACCUUUUGAGGUUUUCUUGACUGCUAGUCCUUCUUGUUGAACUGCAUUGGCUUCAUUUUCCAACCAUCAGUUGCCACUUUUGUAAAACAAGUUCCAGAGAUAAUCCUGCAUUAUCUCAAGUGAUGACAGUUGAAUCACUUUGGGUUUAAAGACAACAGCUUUCAAAUGAACAAUUCAGAGAAAUUUGCAGGAAAAACUAUCUCAACCAUCAACAGUUGUUAAGUUGCAUUGUGGGUAAUAGAGGCCUCAAACAUUGCUUGUCAACAUUGUGAUGUUCCAUUAAAAUCUGAUAAAGUUCAUCUUAAAAACUUUUCUUCAGCACCCUGCCAGUGCUUAUUUCACCUACAGCCAUAUCCCCCUGCUUUUUUCUUAUCUCUACAUCAUUAUUCAAUCUUCUUUCUAGCCAAAUAAAAACAUGAUGUUCUCUGUAGACCAGAAUUUAUUUAUCACAACCUAUAAAUCUGCCAUACCAAUGAAACGCAUAAUGUUUGUAUUCUAAUGAAAAUCAUAAUCUAAUGCAACCUUUCUCUUUUCUCUCUUCUGCUCUUUUCUCUGAGUUAAUAUUGUUUUUAAUGUUUACGUGCACUGUUUGGAUCCGUGUCAUAAAGACUGUUAUAUAUUUCAUUUUUAUUUUAUUUUCAUAGAUUUUUUUUAAGCAUACAUCUCAUUUGUUUGGUUAAUUCAUACAUUUCUGCUCAGUUCAUAGUGCUGUGAUGUGUCUGAAUCAUUUUUUGAAUAAAUUUGCUUAAUUCAUAUUCAUAUCUGUUUUUUGGGCUGCAUCCCAUCACUAUAAUGUGUUAUUUUUUAACAACAGCCACCUAAUGUCCCUGGAUCUAUUGGUUUAUUAAAGUUUCAUAUUAGCAUUAUGUAACAGCGUCAAAUUACCUCAGUUUGAUUAGAUGCCUGUUUCAGAGUACAUAAAGCGUAGUCUACAGGUUUUCAGAGCAUUUAAUUUUGCACUGAUGGUAUUUAUGAGCUUUAAAAAGCACUCAGUUACUAUUGAAUUGGCUUUCUGCAUCAGACCUGCUGUUAGAUAAGAAUUAGUUCUUAAUUUUUCUUCUUUGUGCUAAUGUCUGUGACUCAUUUUAUGAAGAUAUAUAAAGUUGUCUUUUAAAUUUGUCUUUGACUUUAAUCAGGUAUACCAUGACAUGCAGCCUUCAGAUGAUGAAAAGACACUUCUCAAAGAGAUCCUGCUGCUGUGAUGACCUUCUAAGAAAAUUACAUAACAGCACUGGCACAUCAACUCAGUAAUGAUCAACACUGCUAAUAGGACAGCCACACUGUUAUGAUCCGAUCACUUGAAGGUAAAGUGGCCUCAUGAGGACAGCCUAGAGGUUGGGCAAUUUUCUGCAGCCCUGUGCUGUAAUUAUAUUUUGGACAUCAUAUACUGGGACCUAAACAUUUUGAGAAAGUGUUAAAAUAAAACAGGAAAGUAAUGCAAGGAGAAAAAAACUGAAGCAAAAGGCAUCAAUCACUCUUUUGGGUUGUUUUUCUGGCCCACUACUCUAUUAUGAAUGAUUUGCCCCAAAG